rnacentral:rRNA from 1 species
GACGAACGCUGGCGGCGUGCUUAACACAUGCAAGUCGAACGGAAAGGCCCUGCUUUUGUGGGGUGCUCGAGUGGCGAACGGGUGAGUAACACGUGAGUAACCUGCCCUUGACUUUGGGAUAACUUCAGGAAACUGGGGCUAAUACCGGAUAGGAGCUCCUGCUGCAUGGUGGGGGUUGGAAAGUUUCGGCGGUUGGGGAUGGACUCGCGGCUUAUCAGCUUGUUGGUGGGGUAGUGGCUUACCAAGGCUUUGACGGGUAGCCGGCCUGAGAGGGUGACCGGCCACAUUGGGACUGAGAUACGGCCCAGACUCCUACGGGAGGCAGCAGUGGGGAAUAUUGCACAAUGGGCGGAAGCCUGAUGCAGCAACGCCGCGUGCGGGAUGACGGCCUUCGGGUUGUAAACCGCUUUCGCCUGUGACGAAGCGUGAGUGACGGUAAUGGGUAAAGAAGCACCGGCUAACUACGUGCCAGCAGCCGCGGUGAUACGUAGGGUGCGAGCGUUGUCCGGAUUUAUUGGGCGUAAAGGGCUCGUAGGUGGUUGAUCGCGUCGGAAGUGUAAUCUUGGGGCUUAACCCUGAGCGUGCUUUCGAUACGGGUUGACUUGAGGAAGGUAGGGGAGAAUGGAAUUCCUGGUGGAGCGGUGGAAUGCGCAGAUAUCAGGAGGAACACCAGUGGCGAAGGCGGUUCUCUGGGCCUUUCCUGACGCUGAGGAGCGAAAGCGUGGGGAGCGAACAGGCUUAGAUACCCUGGUAGUCCACGCUGUAAACGGUGGGUACUAGGUGUGGGGUCCAUUCCACGGGUUCCGUGCCGUAGCUAACGCUUUAAGUACCCCGCCUGGGGAGUACGGCCGCAAGGCUAAAACUCAAAGGAAUUGACGGGGCCCCGCACAAGCGGCGGAGCAUGCGGAUUAAUUCGAUGCAACGCGUAGAACCUUACCCGGGUUUGACAUGGAUCGGGAGUGCUCAGAGAUGGGUGUGCCUCUUUUGGGGUCGGUUCACAGGUGGUGCAUGGCUGUCGUCAGCUCGUGUCGUGAGAUGCUGGGUUAAGUCCCGCAACGAGCGCAACCCUUGUUCACUGUUGCCAGCACGUUAUGGUGGGGACUCAGUGGAGACCGCCGGGGUCAACUCGGAGGAAGGUGGGGAUGACGUCAAGUCAUCAUGCCCCUUAUGUCCAGGGCUUCACGCAUGCCACAAUGGCUGGUACAGAGAGUGGCGAGCCUGUGAGGGUGAGCGAAUCUCGGAAAGCCGGUCUCAGUUCGGAUUGGGGUCUGCAACUCGACCUCAUGAAGUCGGAGUCGCUAGUAAUCGCAGAUCAGCAACGCUGCGGUGAAUACGUUCCCGGG